rnacentral:rRNA from 1 species
GAUGAACGCUGGCGGCGUGCCUAAUACAUGCAAGUCGAGCGAACAGACGAGGAGCUUGCUCCUCUGACGUUAGCGGCGGACGGGUGAGUAACACGUGGAUAACCUACCUAUAAGACUGGGAUAACUUCGGGAAACCGGAGCUAAUACCGGAUAAUAUAUUGAACCGCAUGGUUCAAUAGUGAAAGACGGUUUUGCUGUCACUUAUCGAUGGAUCCGCGCCGCAUUAGCUAGUUGGUAAGGUAACGGCUUACCAAGGCAACGAUGCGUAGCCGACCUGAGAGGGUGAUCGGCCACACUGGAACUGGGACACGGUCCAGACUCCUACGGGAGGCAGCAGUAGGGAAUCUUCCGCAAUGGGCGAAAGCCUGACGGAGCAACGCCGCGUGAGUGAUGAAGGUCUUCGGAUCGGAAAACUCUGUUAUUAGGGAAGAACAAAUGUGUAAGUAACUAUGCACGUCUUGACGGUACCUAAUCAGAAAGCCACGGCUAACUACGUG